rnacentral:rRNA from 1 species
GAUGAACGCUGGCGGCGUGCCUAAUACAUGCAAGUCGAGCGAACAGACGAGGAGCUUGCUCCUCUGACGUUAGCGGCGGACGGGUGGGUAACACGUGGAUAACCUACCUAUAAGACUGGGAUAACUUCGGGAAACCGGAGCUAAUACCGGAUAAUAUAUUGAACCGCAUGGUUCAAUAGUGAAAGACGGUUUUGCUGUCACUUAUAGAUGGAUCCGCGCCGCAUUAGCUAGUUGGUAAGGUAACGGCUUACCAAGGCAACGAUGCGUAGCCGACCUGAGAGGGUGAUCGGCCACACCGGAACUGAGACACGGUCCAGACUCCUACGGGAGGCAGCAGUAGGGAAUCUUCCGCAAUGGGCGAAAGCUUGACGGAGCAACGCCGCGUGAGUGAUGAAGGUCUUCGGAUCGUAAAACUCUGUUAUUAGGGAAGAACAAAUGUGUAAGUAACUAUGCACGUCUUGACGGUACCUAAUCAGAAAGCCACGGCUAACUACGUG